ensembl:lncRNA
CCGAGAGUGAGUAAGUUUUGUGGAGCUCUGAGAAAAGGUUUUUAAAAUCUUUAACACCAGGCAGAAACGGUGAUAUUAAUGUCCCACAGAGACUGUUGACUAAGGUUUUGGAAAGGAACAUUUGAUCACUGAUUUAACCCUACUAUUAUGUUGGAAAAAGGGUCGCGGGGGAACCUGGAGCCUAUCGCAGGGAGCAUCGGGCACAGGCGGGUACACCCUGGACAGGGUGCCAGUCCAUCACAGAGCACACAAUCACACAUUCAUACACUACGGACACUUUAGACACGCCAAUCAGCCAUGCAUGUCUUUGGACCGCAGGAAACCCCCGCAAACGGGAGAACAUGCAAACUCCGCACACACACAGCCGCAGGAAUCAAACCCGACCCUGGCGGUGUGAGGCGAACGUGCCAACCACUAAGCCACCGUUCCCUA